AGCGAACGCUGGCGGCAGGCCUAACACAUGCAAGUCGAACGGAUCCUUCGGGAUUAGUGGCGGACGGGUGAGUAACACGUGGGAACGUGCCCUUUGGUUCGGAACAACUCAGGGAAACUUGAGCUAAUACCGGAUGUGCCCUUCGGGGGAAAGAUUUAUCGCCAUUGGAGCGGCCCGCGUCUGAUUAGCUAGUUAGUGAGGUAACGGCCCACCAAGGCGACGAUCAGUAGCUGGUCUGAGAGGAUGAUCAGCCACACUGGGACUGAGGCACGGCCCAGACUCCUACGGGAGGCAGCAGUGGGGAAUCGUGCGCAAUGGGCGAAAGCCUGACGCAGCCAUGCCGCGUGAAUGAUGAAGGUCUUAGGAUUGUAAAAUUCUUUCAGCGGGGACGAUAAUGACGGUACCCGCAGAAGAAGCUCCGGCUAACUUCGUG
rnacentral:rRNA from 1 species